AUUGAACGCUGGCGGCAGGCCUAACACAUGCAAGUCGAGCGAGCGGCGGACGGGUGAGCAAUGUCUGGGAAACUGCCUGACGGAGGGGGAUAACUACUGGAAACGGUAGCUAAUACCGCAUACCAUCAGAUGUGCCCCGAUGGGAUUAGCUAGUAGGUGGGGUAAUGGCUCACCUGGGCAACGAUCCCUAGCUGGCCUGAGAGGAUGACCAGCCACACUGGAACUGGGACACGGUCCAGACUCCUACGGGGGGAAGCAGGGGGAAAUAUUGCAAAAUGGGCGCAAGCCUGAUGCAGCCAUGCCGCGUGUAUGAGGAAGGCCUUCGGGUUGUAAAGUACUUUCAGCGAGGAGGCGUUACUCGCAGAGGAAGCACCGGCUAACUCCGUGCCAGCAGCCGCGGUAAUAC
rnacentral:rRNA from 1 species